CAGUCGCCGCGGGAAUACGGAGGGGGCUAGCGUUGUUCGGAAUUACUGGGCGUAAAGCGCACGUAGGCGGCUUUGUAAGUCAGAGGUGAAAGCCUGGAGCUCAACUCCAGAACUGCCUUUGAGACUGCAUCGCUUGAACGUCGGAGAGGUGAGUGGAAUUCCGAGUGUAGAGGUGAAAUUCGUAGAUAUUCGGAAGAACACCAGUGGCGAAGGCGGCUCACUGGACGACUGUUGACGCUGAGGUGCGAAAGCGUGGGGAGCAAACAGGAUUAGAUACCCCGGUAGUCCCUGUCUCUUAUAC
rnacentral:rRNA from 1 species